UACAUAGGGUGCGAGCGUUGUCCGGAAUUAUUGGGCGUAAAGGGCUCGUAGGCGGUUUGUCGCGUCGGGAGUGAAAACUCAGGGCUUAACCCUGAGCCUGCUUCCGAUACGGGCAGACUAGAGGUAUGCAGGGGAGAACGGAAUUCCUGGUGUAGCGGUGAAAUGCGCAGAUAUCAGGAGGAACACCGGUGGCGAAGGCGGCGACCUGGGUAGAUACUGACGCUGAGGUGCGAAAGCGUGGGGAGCGAACAGG
rnacentral:rRNA from 1 species